CCUACGGGUGGCAGCAGUGAGGAAUAUUGGUCAAUGGACGGGAGUCUGAACCAGCCAAGCAGCGUGAAGGAUGACUGCCCUAUGGGUUGUAAACUUCUUUUAUAAAGGAAUAAAACCAGGCACGUGUGCCUUUUUGCAUGUACCUUAUGAAUAAGGAUCGGCUAACUCCGUGCCAGCAGCCGCGGUAAUACGGAGGAUCCGAGCGUUAUCCGGCUUUAUUGGGGUUAAAGGGCGCGUAGAUGGGUUGUUAAGUCAGUUGUGAAAGUUUGCGGCUCAACCGCAAAAUUGCAAUGGAUACUGGCAGUCUUGAGUACAGGUGAGGUAGGCGGAAUGCGUGGUGUAGCGGUGAAAUGCUUAGAUAUCGCGAAGAACCCCGAUUGCGAAGGCAGCAUACUGAACCGUGACUGACGUUGAGGCUCGAAAGUGUGGGUAUCAAACAGGAUUAGAUACCCGUGUAGUC
rnacentral:rRNA from 1 species